rnacentral:rRNA from 1 species
UACGGAGGGUGCAAGCGUUGUCCGGAUUUAUUGGGUUUAAAGGGCCAGUAGGCGGCCAACUAAGUCCGACGUGAAAUCCCCAGGCUUAACCUGGGAACUGCGUCGGAUACUGGAUGGCUUGAAUUCGGGAGAGGGAUGCAGAAUUCCAGGUGUAGCGGUGAAAUGCGUAGAUAUCUGGAGGAACACCGGUGGCGAAGGCGGCAUCCUGGACCGAGAUUGACGCUGAACGGCGAAAGCUAGGGGAGCGAACAGG